UACGUAGGGUGCAAGCGUUGUCCGGAAUUAUCGGGCGUAAAGAGCUCGUAGGCGGUUUGUCGCGUCUGCUGUGAAAAUCCAGGGCUUAACCCUGGACCUGCAGUGGGUACGGGCAGACUAGAGUGCGGUAGGGGAGACUGGAAUUCCUGGUGUAGCGGUGAAAUGCGCAGAUAUCAGGAGGAACACCGGUGGCGAAGGCGGGUCUCUGGGCCGAUACUGACGCUGAGGAGCGGAAGCGUGGGGAGCGAACAGG
rnacentral:rRNA from 1 species